GCACCGGCUAACUCCGUGCCAGCAGCCGCGGUAAUACGGAGGGUGCAAGCGUUAAUCGGAAUUACUGGGCGUAAAGCGCACGCAGGCGGUUUGUUAAGUCAGAUGUGAAAUCCCCGGGCUCAACCUGGGAACUGCAUCUGAUACUGGCAAGCUUGAGUC
rnacentral:rRNA from 1 species